rnacentral:rRNA from 1 species
AACGUAGGACGCAAACGUUAUCCGGAAUUACUGGGCGUAAAGGGCGCGCAGGCGGGUCGAUAAGUGAGGCAUGAAAGCUUCGGGCUAAACCUGGAGAGGCUGUCUGAGACUGUCGAUCUGGAGUGCGAUAGAGGGGUGUAGAAUUCCGCGUGUAGUGGUGAAAUGCGUAGAGAUGCGGAGGAAUACCAGAGGCGAAGGCGGCACCCUGGAUCGUAACUGACGCUGUGGAGCGAAAGCAUGGGGAGCGAACGGG